rnacentral:tRNA from 1 species
GCGCGAAUGGCUCAAUUGGCGGAGCACUGGCUUCCCAAGCCGGGGGUUGCGGGUUCGAGUCCCGUUUCGCGCU